UCUCUUGUUGCAGUGUGAAUACUUGUAAGGUUUCUUUCCAGUGUGGAUGUUCAUGUGUACCUUAAGGUGUCCUUUUUGUGCAAAACUCUUCCCGCAUUGAUCACAUGCGUGCGGCUUCUUUCCAGUAUGAACUCUUAUGUGAACAUCAAGAUUAUAUUUGCUUGUGAAACUCUUUCCACACUGAGCGCAAGUGGAAGAUUU